GAUGAAGAACGUAGUGAAAUGCGAUAAGUAAUGUGAAUUGCAGAAUUCAGUGAAUCAUCGAAUCUUUGAACGCACCUUGCGCUCGUUGGUAUUCCGACGAGCAUGCCUGUUUGAGUGUCAUUAAAUUCUCAACCUCACCACUUUUGUAAUGAAAGUGUGUGUUGGCUUGGAUGUGGGGGUUUGCAGGUCCGCUCUUUUGUGGUCUGCUCCUCUGAAAUGUAUUAGUGGGUUUGGUCCCCUAAUCUAUUGGUGUGAUAAUUAUCUACGCCGUGGAUUGGAAGACUAUUAUGAACCUGCUUCUAACCGUCCCUUACACGGACAAUACUUGACAUUUUUGACCUCAAAUCAGGUAAGACUACCCGCUGAACUUAAGCAUAUCAAUAAGCGGAGGA
rnacentral:misc_RNA from 1 species